UGAGUACGAGAUGCUACGGCAUUGAAGCAGUCUAUGUCAGACUUCCAAGAAAAGCUCGGAAUAUCAUAAACAAAUAAUGCCUGUACCAUAACCGACACAGGUGGGUAGGUAGAGUAUACUAAGGGGCGCGAGAUAACUCUCUCUAAGGAGCUCGGCAAAAUGACUCCGUAACUUCGGGAGAAGGAGUGCCUUCUUUUAGAAGGUUGCAAUAACAAGAUCCAAGCAACUGUUUACCAAAAACACAGGUCUCCGCUAAGUCGUAAGACGAUGUAUGGGGGCUGACGCCUGCCCAGUGCCAGAAGGUUAAAGAAGUUGGUUAGUUUCGACGAAGCUGAUGACUGAAGCCCUGGUGAACGGCGGCCGUAACAAUAACGGUCCUAAGGUAGCGAAAUUCCUUGUCGGGUAAGUUCCGACCCGCACGAAAGGCGUAAUGAUUUGGAUACUGUCUCGGAGAGGGGCUCGGUGAAAUAGACUUGUCUGUGAAGAUGCGGACUACCUGCACCUGGACAGAAAGACCCUAUGAAGCUUUACUGUAACUUGAGAUUGAAAUUGGACUUUAUUUGCGCAGUAUAGGUGGGAGACGUUGAGAAUAUUCUUGCGGGAGUAUUGGAGUCAUCAGUGAGAUACCACUCUUGUAAUGUUAGAUUUCUAACUUUGUAUCAUCAUCUGGUCAAAGGACAGUUUCAGGCGGGCAGUUUGACUGGGGCGGUCGCCUCCCAAACGGUAACGGAGGCGCACAAAGGUUUCCUCUGAACGUGUAGAAAUCGUAUCUAGAGUGUAAAGGCAUAAGGAAGCUUGACUGUGAGACCUACAAGUCGAGCAGGGACGAAAGUCGGUCUUAGUGAUCUGACGGUGCUGAGUGGAAAGGCCGUCACUCAACGGAUAAAAGUUACUCUAGGAUAACAGGCUGAUCUCCCCCAAGAGUUCACAUCGACGGGGAGGUUUGGCACCUCGAUGUCGGCUCAUCGCAUCCUGGGGCGGUAGUACGUCCCAAGGGUUGGGCUGUUCGCCCAUGAAAGCGGUACGCGAGCUGGGUUCAGAACGUCGUGAGACAGUUCGGUCCAUAUCCGGUGUAGGCGUUAGAAUAUUGAGAGGAGCCUUCUUUAGUACGAGAGGACCGAGAAGGACAUACCUCUGGUGUACCAGUUAUCGUGCCAACGGUAAACGCUGGGUAGCUAUGUAUGGAGUGGAUAACCGCUGAAAGCAUCUAAGUGGGAAGCCCACCUCAAGAUAAGUAUUCUC
rnacentral:rRNA from 1 species